GAGGCCACUGCCAUCAGCGUCCGACUAAGCCAUGCGAGUCGUGGGCACCUCCUCACCUUGCGGUGAGGGGGAGACCCGGCGGACGGCUCAGUAACACGUGGCUAACCUACCCUCGGGACCGGGAUAACCCCGGGAAACUGGGGCUAAUACCGGAUAGGCCUCCGAUACCUGGAAUGGGCGGAGGCCGAAAGCCGAGAGGCGCCCGAGGAUGGGGCUGCGGCCGAUUAGGUAGUUGUCGGUUUAACGGACCGACAAGCCUACGAUCGGUACGGGCCGUGAGAGCGGGAGCCCGGAGAUGGACCCUGAGACAAGGGUCCAGGCCCUACGGGGCGCAGCAGGCGCGAAACCUUCACAAUGCCCGAAAGGGCGAUGAGGGGACGCUGAGUGCCCUUCGGGGCUGUUCGGGUGCCUAAAAAGCACCCGGAGUAAGGGCUGGGUAAGACCGGUGCCAGCCGCCGCGGUAAUACCGGCAGCCCGAGUGGUGGCCGCGUUUAUUGGGCCUAAAGGGUCCGUAGCCGGUCGGGUAAGUUCCUCGGGAAACCUCGCCGCUCAACGGUGAGGCUUCCGGGGAAAACUGCCUGACUUGGGACCGGGAUGGGCCGGAGGUACUCCCGGGGUAGGGGUGAAAUCCGUUGAUCCCGGGAGGACCACCCGUAGCGAAGGCGUCCGGCUGGAACGGGUCCGACGGUGAGGGACGAAGGCCAGGGGCGCGAACCGGAUUAGAUACCCGGGCAGUCCUGGCUGUAAACGAUGCGGGCUUUGCGUCGGCACUGCCAAGAGUGGUGCCGGUGUUGAAGGGAAGCCGUUAAGCCCGCCGCCUGGGGAGUACGGGCGCAAGCCUGAAACUUAAAGGAAUUGGCGGGGGAGCAC
rnacentral:rRNA from 1 species